rnacentral:lncRNA from 1 species
CAUGCUGCUUGCGUACGGGUGUCAUCGUGCUGCCUCAGGAUUCUCUAGCGGGCCUAGUGUCUGCUCUCUACAGAACAGGGAGGGGCAGCUUCCAUUUAAGAGGAAACUCUCACUCAGCGAAUCACUGCUAAUACAUAAUUCACACUGGGUGCUGGCUUGAGCAGCUUUGUCAGCUGCCUUCACCGUGAGCUUUCCGGCUCCACCUCU